UACGUAGGAGGCAAGCGUUGUCCGGAGUUACUGGGCGUAAAGGGCCCGCAGGCGGUGGAGUAAGUUUGGAGUGACAGUUCCCAGCUUAACCGGGAAAGGACUUCGAAAACUGCUCGACUUGAGGACUGGAGAGGAAGGCGGAAUUCCGGGUGGAGCGGUGAAAUGCGUAGAGAUCCGGAGGAACACCGACGGCGAAGGCAGCCUUCUGGAAAGA
rnacentral:rRNA from 1 species